AUAGCCACAUGGAGUCAUCUGGCCUCUACAGGAAGAUCCACACGAAGACAGGCGCAGAUCAGGGACUUGGAGGUGCUAGCCUGCAAGCAACUUUGAUAGCUGAUUUGUUCCUUCUUCUUCAAGUAACUUGGAUACUCCAAAGUAAGAGAAAAUCAAGAAAAGAAAUAGAAGAGGAGAAGAAGAGGCUCUAAAAAAUGAAAAACAGCAAGGAAUUGAUCAUAGGAUGUCUAAGAGAGAGGACCCUUUUUUAUAGACUAGAAAUUAGGGU
rnacentral:lncRNA from 1 species